CCUACGGGUGGCAGCAGUGAGGAAUAUUGGUCAAUGGGAGGAAGCCUGAACCAGCCAAGCCGCGUGCAGGACGACGGCUCUACGAGUUGUAAACUGCUUUUGUACGGGGGUAAAUGCCGGACGGGUAGGGUUUUGGGAGUACGGUACGAAUAAGGAUAGGCUCACUCCUGGCAAGAAGCCGCGGUAAUACGGAGGAUCCGAGAGUUAUCCGGAUUCAUUGGGUUUAAAGGGGGCGGAGGUGGUUUUAUAAGUGAGCGGUAAAAUACCGAUGCUCAACAUCGGCGCUGCCGCUAAUACUGUAGGACUAGGGGUCGGAUGCAGCAGCGGAAUGUGUAGUGUAGCGGUGAAAUGCAUAGAUAUUACGCAGAACACCGAUUGCGAAGGCAGCUUGCUGGGCCGGAUCUGACACUGAUGCACGAAAGCGUGGGGAUCGAACAGGAUUAGAUACCCUUGUAGUC
rnacentral:rRNA from 1 species